UACGUAGGGGGCAAGCGUUGUCCGGAAUUAUUGGGCGUAAAGCGCGCGCAGGCGGUCCUUUAAGUCUGAUGUGAAAGCCCACGGCUCAACCGUGGAGGGUCAUUGGAAACUGGGGGACUUGAGUGCAGAAGAGGAAAGCGGAAUUCCACGUGUAGCGGUGAAAUGCGUAGAGAUGUGGAGGAACACCAGUGGCGAAGGCGGCUUUCUGGUCUGUAACUGACGCUGAGGCGCGAAAGCGUGGGGAGCGAACAGG
rnacentral:rRNA from 1 species